CCCUUAGAUGUCCUGGGCCGCACGCGCGCUACACUGAUGCAUUCAACGAGUUUUACCUUGGCCGAGAGGCCUGGGCAAUCUUUUAAACCUGCAUCGUGAUAGGGAUAGAUUAUUGCAAUUAUUAAUCUUGAACGAGGAAUUCCUAGUAAACGCAAAUCAUCAAUUUGCAUUGAUUACGUCCCUGCCCUUUGUACACACCGCCCGUCGCACCUACCGAUUGAAUGGUCCGGUGAAGCCUCGGGAUUGUGGCCAGUUCACUUUAUUGGGAGUUGGCUGUGAGAACUUGUCUAAACCUUAUCAUUUAGAGGAAGUUGAAGUCGUAACA
rnacentral:rRNA from 1 species